rnacentral:rRNA from 1 species
UAAGUCGGUAGUGAAAGCGUGGGCUCAACCCUAUACACAUUAUCGAAACUGCAAAGCUAGAGGACGAGAGAGGUUAUUGGAAUUCCCAGUGUAGGAGUGAAAUCCGUAGAUAUUGGGAGGAACACCGAUGGCGUAGGCAGAUAACUGGCUCGUUCCUGACACUAAGGCACGAAAGCGUGGGGAGCAAACGGGAUUAGAUACCCCGGUAGUCCACGCCGUAAACUAUGGAUGCUA